rnacentral:rRNA from 1 species
CACGUGAGUAACCUGCCCCAGACUCUGGGAUAACAUCGGGAAACCGGUGCUAAUACCGGAUACGAGACGCUCCUGCAUGGGAUGCGUCUGGAAAGAUUUAUCGGUCUGGGAUGGACUCGCGGCCUAUCAGCUAGUUGGUGAGGUAAUGGCUCACCAAGGCGACGACGGGUAGCCGGCCUGAGAGGGCGACCGGCCACACUGGAACUGAGACACGGUCCAGACUCCUACGGGAGGCAGCAGUGGGGAAUAUUGCACAAUGGGCGAAAGCCUGAUGCAGCCAUGCCGCGUGUGUGAAGAAGG